GACAACGUGGUGGAGUGGUUAACACGUUCGCCUGCUAUUACCGAUACCGCGGUACAGUCGAGCGGAUGCCUUCGGGCGCGCAAGUUCGAAUCUUGUCGUUGUCG